AGAGUUUGAUCAUGGCUCAGGAUGAACGCUGGCGGUAUGCUUAACACAUGCAAGUCGAACGGAAUGCUUCGGCAUUUAGUGGCGGACGGGUGAGUAACGCGUGAGAAUCUGGCUUUAGGUUCGGGACAACAGUGGGAAACUGCUGCUAAUACCGAAUGUGCCGAAAGGUGAAAGAUUAAUUGCCUGAAGAUGAGCUCGCGUCUGAUUAGCUAGUUGGUGAGGUAAAGGCUCACCAAGGCGACGAUCAGUAACUGGUCUGAGAGGAUGACCAGUCACACUGGGACUGAGACACGGCCCAGACUCCUACGGGAGGCAGCAGUGGGGAAUUUUCCGCAAUGGGCGAAAGCCUGACGGAGCAAUACCGCGUGAGGGAGGAAGGCUCUUGGGUUGUAAACCUCUUUUCUCAGGGAAGAACAAAAUGACGGUACCUGAGGAAUAAGCAUCGGCUAACUCCGUGCCAGCAGCCGCGGUAAUACGGAGGAUGCAAGCGUUAUCCGGAAUUAUUGGGCGUAAAGCGUCCGCAGGUGGCAAUUCAAGUCUGCUGUUAAAGGUUCUGGCUCAACCAGAGACAGGCAGUGGAAACUGAAUAGCUAGAGUGCGGUAGGGGCAGAGGGAAUUCCCAGUGUAGCGGUGAAAUGCGUAGAGAUUGGGAAGAACACCGGUGGCGAAAGCGCUCUGCUAGGCCGUAACUGACACUCAUGGACGAAAGCUAGGGGAGCGAAUGGGAUUAGAUACCCCCGUAGUCC
rnacentral:rRNA from 1 species